rnacentral:lncRNA from 1 species
GUGAUUUAACUUUCACGCUUUGAUGUUAUCAAAUUUGUACCUUCAUUUUUGUCUAAUAUUAUUCUACUUAUUUGCAUGACUACGCAGAGGAGAGAUUGGAAAAUGGAUUGCUUUAGUUGCUGUUGUUUUAAGGCUUUUUAUUCCAAAGCAUUUCCCUGGUAUGUUACACUUUUACUUAAACUUAACAGUAUAAUCCGUUUCAUAGUCUAUUAAAAGUUAUAUUAGCACCUAAAUGCAUGUGGAAAACUUUUUUGCACUGAAUGUGCAUACUAAUUAAACUCUAAUGUUUGAUUGUCACACUAUUAAUAAAGAAAUAUUCACUUGCAUUGCGCCGCUUAACACCCUUUGUUUCUCACAUUCGUGUUAGGCAGUCCUAUAUGCUAGUAUGUACUAAAACUAAGCAUAUACACAGCAGAGUAAGUAAGUAACACGGUGACCUUGUUGUCACGAUCCACUUAGAUACUCGGCAGAGUAUGCAAGUGACAGAGUGACCUUGUUGUCACGAUCCACUAAGAUUCAUCCGUUGUUGGUUCAGUUCGUCCUUUAUAAAAAAACGCACGAGGAAAUAUUGAAUAUACAUAAUUACUCUUUCUGAUUGUUUCUGCAGAUUGGUUGGAGUUGCCGGGUGCUUUGAUACUCUUGAUUGUUGUAUCUCCUGAUCUAGUUGCAAGCACCUUUAGAAACGACCUAGUUGGAAUAAUCGUGUGCCUUGUCAUUGCAUGUUAUUUGCUACAAGAGCAUAUUCGUGCAUCUGGUGGUUUCAGAAACUCCUUCACUAAAGCAAAUGGCGUAUCAAAUUCCGUUGGCAUAAUUCUUCUAUUAGUCUACCCCGUCUGGGCACUUCUCACCUACUUUUUUUAGGCGCCGGCGUUUGAAUUUGAUUGUUAAGUGUGAAUUAAACCUGGUGUGUUCUGUAAUCAUUCAUUCUUUGGAUGUUGAUGUCAAAUACUCUGUCAUUGUUUGAUGUAUCACCUUUGUUAUUUCAUUUGCAUGUGUAAAAAUAUGGAAUCAAGUCUCAUUGAGACACUUUUUGGCUUCAUUGAAUGUUAUGAAAUAAGAAUGAUGAAGGGGAUUGACAUAGUAUCUUCAUAGCUUCUUGUGUAUUCGCGCGAUGUAGAUGAUUCGCAUCGAUCCUUGUAUUUUCUGCGGAACUUCUAACUUAAGAUAAUUAGUUUCCAUUUCUCUUCCUUGAAUUCCUAAUAGAAUCAAAGCAAUAUUAACAGGCAUAGGCUCAAGAGAGCCGUGAAAAUACAAUGAAGUUUUUGUUCUGCACUGCAGUACCACAAUCUGUCGUAUUCUCAUGGCUAAAAUUAUGAAUCAGAUGACAGAACAAACAAUUAGGGCAAAAAUAACUUCACAAGAACAAAAGAAGUAAAAAAAAACAGUAGUUGCAAGGUCCACAAAAUAUAUAGCUUUUCAAUUUUUUCAGAUAAUCUUAUUUUGUAAUCUUUUAGGAAUGACUGAAGGAGCAUAUUAUGCAGUUCCUAUAAUAUACUGCAUGUUUUGCUUAUAGUUUUUUCACUUCACUUGAUACAAGUUAAAAUGGAUUCUGAAAAACUGCCAGAAAUCAGUAACAAUUUAUUUAAUUAGCUAAUAGCAAAAAAAAAGAAAAACAUAUUUUGGUAAAAAUUGUGAAUCAUAUCACUAAUUCAAUUAGUCAAAAUAGCUUAUAAUUUUUUGAGGGAACCAUAAAAUAGCUUAUAAAAGUCCAUAAAAUUAAUUUUAAUAUAUUUUAGUGUUUUUUCACAUAUUAAUUAGUACUAAAUUUGUCUUUGAAAUUAAUUUUAGCCUUUUCUUCUGACAAUUUUAAACUCUUUUUUAAGAAGACAGUUUUAAACUUAUAUUUUCUAAAAUAUAUGCUUAGUUACUUUUUACUCAAUUCAAUUUUAAUCAGCAUUGAUUUGUUUUUUAAAAUGAAUCAAAAUUAAUUUUAUAGCAUUUAAAUCAAUUUUUUUGUUACAUAAGUAAGAUCAAUUUUUGCUACGGAUACUCAAUCUGAUUUAAGAAAAUGCUUAAUAUUAUUAAUUUUCUUAUAGGAUUUAAUAUAUUAUAAAUAAUUUUUAUUAUCUUUUUAAUCAAUAAUUUAAUUUAAAUAUUAAAAUAAAAGAUAGUUUUCCAUGGGUCAACCAGGACUUAUACAAUAAUACAUUGAAAAUUAUAACAUAAAUUGCAACGGAAGCAAUCAAUAUACCAGCUCAUACACUGCACAGUCCUAGAUAUUUCAUCGUUGUUUAUUUUGUUUUUCUUGAUCAGUAGAAAAUGUGGAACAGAAUGAAUUUUCAAGAAGAAGCAGUUCAGAUUAUGAACUCAGAUUUCAAAGACCUGAGUGAAGCUGCUAGUAAACUCGCUAAUCAUGCCAUCAAAUUAGCUGGUGUAGGCGGCUUUGGAGCUUCUUUCUUCGGAUUCUUUGCUGCUGUUGCUGCUAUGUACGUUCCUUUAACUCUAUCCGAUACCGACACAUAUAAUUACAUUGAAUUAUACGUACUUCUGUCUGUGCUUCAUAGACUCUAUCUAUUAAUUUAUCAUCAUUUGCAAUUUUAAUUUUAUUCAAGUGUGUAUGAAUUCUUUCAUUUUUCGAAACUAUGUAUAUGAGUUUAUUUUGUCAAUUGAUGUUAUAUAUGGAUUGUGUUAUUUGCUUGUCCAACAUCUUAGGUAUGUUUAAGGUUGUUGUUUGUGUGUUCAAGUUCAUGUCUCACUCAGUUAAAAUGUUUAAGAUAUUUGUUUUUGCUUCUAAACUUUUAUUUCAGACUUUGAUCAAAUUGUUUUCUCUUCUGUCUGUCUUACCUUAGAAAUUUUCAUUUUAUUAUUGAGAAAUUUGAAGUACUUGGUGUUUUUUUGGAUUUUUUUUCAAUAAUCUUUUUGUAGAUUAAGUCAGAUUAAAUUUGAAAAGGAACAAAUUAUUGUUAGUCUGGUGAGGAGAUAAAUAAAAUAUGGUGUUGGUAAUUUGAAGUUCGUCCGAAUAUGUAUAAAAUACAAAAACAAGUUCCACCUUCACAUCAUUGAUAUCAUAGAAAAAGUAUAUACUCCUAUAGUAUAUAUUUUUCUUUAAAAGAAACAAAUGGACAAUAGAUCUUAGUAUGUGGAGAAGAUCCAUUUCUUGACAGCAAGAUAUUAAUAUUAAUGGUAGGGUAGGAGAGCCAGCUUAUUCUCAUGACAAAGUUGGUAGUUAUCAUGUUGUUUUUUUAUUAGUUAGUCUUGAAUUGUUGUCAUCACCAUCUUUGUCCCAAAAAGAAGAAGUUAUCACUGUAAAAAAAGUAAUGUACUGAAUUGACAACGGCAGUAAGAGUACUGUCUUUUUCCGGUGUGCAAGAGUAACGAACCUAUGCCCCUAGCGUUGAAAGGUAGAUUUUCAAUCAAGUGAUUCUAGGAUAACUGACUUGUCUUUUAUUUUGUGUUGUUGUAUGAGAAUGAAUGAAAUAAAUUAAAAAUAGUGUCAUUUUUGUAUUUAAAAGAAAAAUAUAAUAAAAUGAUAUUGUAAUUUUACUAACCAGUGUCAAAGUUUCAUCAUGUUUUGUUGUGUAAGAAACUAAAAAUGAAUGAAAACUAUAGUCCUUCUAUGACUUCACUGAUUAUGUUAAUAUGUUCUCUGCAGAUAUUUGUUGGUUUUGGAUCGCACAAACUGGAAGACAAACAUUCUUACAUCACUACUCAUUCCAUACAUUUUCUUCAGCUUGCCUUCUUUUGUUUUCAAUGUAAUCAGGUGAUUUAACUUUCACGCUUUGAUGUUAUCAAAUUUGUACCUUCAUUUUUGUCUAAUAUUAUUCUACUUAUUUGCAUGACUACGCAGAGGAGAGAUUGGAAAAUGGAUUGCUUUAGUUGCUGUUGUUUUAAGGCUUUUUAUUCCAAAGCAUUUCCCAGGUAUGUUACACUUUUACUUGAACUUAACUGUAUAGUCCUUCUCAGAAUAAUUUGCACUUACAUUGCCCUUGCGCCAUAUAACACCCGUUGGUUAUGUACUAAAACCAAGUACAAGGAAAUAUUAUCAGACGAGUGACAUAGUAUUGUAAGUGGUAGAGUGACCUUGCUGCCACGAUCCACUAGAUUCAUCCACUGUUGAUUCAAUUCAUUCUUCAUAAAAAAAAAAAAUGUGUGCGAGGAAAUAUUCUAUACACUUAACAACCCUUCAUGAUUGUUUCUGCAGAUUGGUUGGAGUUGCCGGGUGCUUUGAUACUUUUGAUUGUUGUAUCUCCUGAUCUAGUUGCAAGCACCUUUAGAAACGACCUUGUUGGAGUAAUUGUGUGCCUUGUCAUUGCAUGUUAUUUGCUACAAGAGCAUAUUCGUGCAUCUGGUGGUUUCAGAAACUCCUUCACUAGAGCAAAUGGCGUAUCAAAUUCCAUUGGCAUAAUUCUUCUGUUAGUCUACCCCAUCUGGGCACUCCUCACCAUACUUUU